rnacentral:lncRNA from 1 species
UUCGAUAAUUGGUGCUGGAUAGCCAUGUGAAAAAAACAAGCUUUGACCUCUACUUCACACUACACCCCCAAAUUAAUUCUAGAUGGAUCAUGGACAUAAAUGUAGAGGGUAAAAAAAUUAAGCUUCUAGGAGAAAACACAGAUCCUAUUUAUGACCUUGGGAUUAAAUGGAACAGAGGGCACUAGCUAUAAGAGAAUGUUAAGUUGGACUUCAUUAGGAACUUCUGUUCCUCAAAAGACACUACUGGGAGAGUUAAAAAGCAAGCCAAAAACUUGGAACAUAGUUCAACACAAUACUUAGAUCUACAGUAUAAAAAAAUUCCUACAAAUCACUAAGAAAAAAACCCCACAUAGCCCAAUUUUAAGAAACUGUACCCAAAACUCUUUUCACAAUGAAGAUAAACGAAGGGCAAAAUGCAUACGAAAAGGCAAUUAAGUCAUUAUUCAUCAAGGAAACGCACAAACUAUAAUCUGAUGCUAUUACACUCCCAUGAGAAUGACUUAAAUUCAAAGGACUGGGUGGGGUGGGGGGAGUGGGGAGGGAUAGCAUUGGGA